UCGCCGUACACUGUGUAUCCACGGUUUCUUCGCAGGAGGGGGAAUGAGGAGGACAUCAUUAUGCUUUGUUUGGGGGUUUGAUUUGCGAAUCUGUGGAAGGGGCGGACAGGGAAGGAAGGAGGGCAAUCUAGAGAUGUAUGCAGCGGCUUAGCAUUAAGGAAAUAUGACGUCGUUGGAGCCAGAGAGCGUCAAUUUCUGACCCCUCCGCACCGACCGCACAUUUUCAUCUGCUUUACCA
rnacentral:lncRNA from 1 species